AAAAUGUGAAACGCAGAGAAGUCUGCAUUUCCUUUCGCCCUUUCUUUCUCGCACCCACAGUUACACACACAUACACGCACGAACUCCACACAGUACUCAUAGAAGAUCCAUAAGUAACCGUUGCGCACUUGCAAUCACGAAAUCUCUCUCUCAUCCCCUGCAGCUUUUCUGAAUCGCACUUUCAGCUUCUCGUUGUUCGGAAGUUUUCCGAGUGUUGUUGUUGGUAAUUGAUGUUUCUAUUUUCAAUCUACAGCAUUGAUUUUAUUAGUAUUUGAGAUAUCUGUUAAUUACUUGAAAAACAUGCCAAUUAAUAGAUGCAUUUUGAAGUGACUGAUGUGUGAAUUAUAGUCAAAUUGAAGUUGUAAUUAACGUAUUCAUAUAAACAUCAAUGGCGAUUUGUAGAGGAAUCCGCGAUAAGUAGCCGCCGCUUUUUGCGUGCACUGAACAUGUUUGUAGGUGUGCGUAGCGAUAUAUGUUUUUAUGAUUGUAUUAGAACAACUCAUAAUUGCGUUAUACCUUGAUAUUCCUAAGCUACCAGGUUUUGUAAACCUGCAAAUUAAAGUGUAAAGUAGUUGUAUGUCAAAAGUUACACAUCCAUUGUCAUGUCGAACUCAAGGCAUUUGGCUUGAAUAUGCCAUUAGAUGGAGUAUAUAUAUUUCAGAAUCCACUCUCUUGACUCAAAAUUCAUUAUUCUGAAUUUUGAAUUUGCUGCUGCACAUGUUUAUGCUCACCUCAUAGCUAAUGCUUAUGUGCAGGUUGAAAGUUGCUCUUCAUUCUCUUCUAGUGACAUUUUGGAAAUUCGGAGUUGCAGAAAUCUUAUGGUAUACGAUUUUCUCAGCUUCAAAAAGGUACGAUAUGCAUCUCCGUUCAAUUGUGAUUUUCGAAACUGUAUGGCUGGGUAGUAGUGUAGUACAGUAGUUGCAAACAACAACCGUAUUUCUGUGUUGUUUUAGACAACUUAUGAAGUAGUAUGAAUAGGGUGUUAGUUUAAGCUAAUCUUUACCAGGGUGCUGGUAUCAUGAAUAUAUUGGUAUGCUCUUUGCAAGUCCUGGUUUAUAUAUUUACCCUUUAGUCUUAAUUAUGUUUAGUCGAAAACAGUGUUCAUUAUAACGUUGUUCCCUUGUUCAAGCUUUUACUACUUGAUAAGAUUUUGCUGCAGCUCCCGUCUAUGAAAAAAGGGGUUUUGUUUAGCUUGUGGGAAGCUUUUCCUUUUACGAAUUACCAUCAGAAUUAGUUUGCAAAUUCGCCUCAUGUUGGUGUUGCGGAGCCAAACCAGUUAUUUUGUAAUUUAGGAGCCAAGUGUAUUGAUUGACAUGGAAGAGAAUCAAUUUUUAUUACUCUUUUAUAUCCUCCGAGGAGAAAAUGAGACGUAUAAAAAUCAACUGAAUUUGAAUUUCAGUUGGCUAAAGAUACACUAGCCUGUUGAAGAAUUCGAUGAUCGUCACUAAUAGAAAUGACCACCCUAAGUAUCAGCUACAAUUUACUUACAAGUUAGACAAUACCUAUCUUUUCUUUCCUAAGGUUUAAAACAUCAUGGUACUGAUUACUGAAUGUUGCUAGCUUGUUCAGCCUAGGUGGCUGCCUUGCUGAUUCAGUAGGACACUGCUCCCUAGUUUUCAUCUGGCUUUCCUUUAGUCUUACUCAAUCUGCUGGCUGGAAAAUGCAACCGUGCCAUCAGUGGUCUUGGUGCCCGUGUCUUCUUGUCAAAACCCCUCACACAAACAAACCCUGCGAAAUAAAGUACUUGAUCAGAAAGCAAAUAAAAGGUAUUGCAGCAAGGAAUAACACUUCUUCCUCUUAGUGACCUGAAUGAUUACUAUUCCUCAAAAUUUUGUUUUUAUGAUUUGUCCUGAGAGUGUAUAAAGAAAGCAUGAAACUUGCCAACAUGUUUUUUGAUGCUGAGCAAGUUGUAAUACAUUCUUUUUGGAUGCCAAAGGUAUCUAAUUGUGCCGUUUCUUGUUUGGGAGUCAUCAUUCCGAAGAAGGAUUGAAUGAUGAUUAUGGACUUAAUAAAAAAGAAAAAGUUGAUUGAUGGAAACCUAACUGGUACACAUUAUGUGUAAUUGUUGAGAGCAUGCAUCUAUGUCUGUGUUUACUCUUAUUACUGUAUGUCACUCUUUUUUCAAGUGUAUACAUGUGUUCUGGCCCUGCUCCAUAGUCAAAAAUAGAGGAGACAGGGCUGAUUGGCUGAAGGGAAUACAGAUUUUUCUGUUCGAAAGAUGGACUAGAACCAAGAUAACAUGUUCAUAGAUUAUCUUAAAAAAGAUAAGCUGUCUGCAUUAAUCGGUCAUAAACAGAUUGGAUGAAGAAGCAAAUAUUAUCAACAUAUCUGCAAAUAAGACUCUGGUUUUAACUUUCUCUCGAACCAUCACGUCAGAUAUCCUCGAUGACUCACUCUAUACCAAAUGGUAAACCUUGGAGGUUCUUCAAUUAUUUCUAUAUAAGCUGUAUAAACUUGUUCUCCCAGAUUAUUUUUUCCCCAGUUUCAAGCUUUGUUCUGAUGCUGAAUGCUUAUGCCCAUUUAACUUGAUACAGAGUCUUUUUGAACUUGAAUAUGGUAUUAACAUGCACACUUUUCGUUGAUUUAUUUAGUAGAAAUGGAUUAGAAGUUAAGACAAGCAUUUGGACCUCUGUGGAUUUAAAGUUUUCGACUACAUACCUCUCCAAAAGCAAUGUUGGAUACUUUCUGUGGUUAGGCCUGAUUAACAAAGAACAUAUUAAUGUUAUUUUACUCCCAAAGCAUUUAAAAAAAUAAAUGAUCAUCCUUUAGUUGUCCUUUUACCUUUAAAUAUUGUUGGUAUUGAGGUUCCAAAGUAAACUGUUCGUCGCGGCAGAUUCCAUAGCCAAUCUCGUGGGACGUCAAUUGGGUUGAGGCUGGAGUCAUGGUCUGCAAACACCUGAGAAAUAAGAAAAAUGCUACUGUGAAAACCUUAUUAAAUGGUAAAAUGCUUAUCUUUGACAUGUUCGAGUGAUGAGCUUAAAGUCGGCUGUAUUCACCUCGUUAACUUGAAAGUAUGUACCAUUGAGCGGAAAGCUUCCUCUCAUUGCCGUUCGACAUGGUAUCUGUUAGAGAAGUAUAUAUAGAGAUGAUUAGAAUUCUCAGACCGCUUUCCCAUGACAAACAUUACAGUUAGUUUGCUCUUUCUUUACCAGAAUUGUCCCUCUCACUGUUUGAGAAUGUGCUUCACGUAGGCUGUUGCAUGCAAAGCAUGUUUCAUCAUCACAUAGCCUACCAGCCUCUUGGGAGUUGCACUUUAUUGCAGGUGGAUGAAUAGAAUCCGCUGUUUCACCUGAGAUGGAAUUGAUACAUGACAGAGAAUAAGUUAUUUUGAAAGCCUGGGGAAAAGUUAACCUAUUUCGCCAAAUUACCCUCUACCACUGUAACACAAGCUACUAAUGAGAUUGGAACCUGGGACUUGCAUAGUUAGCUAUGUGCAAUUGUUCCUUACAAACAUGAGUUAUCUAAUUCAUCAGUUUUAGGGUUAAAGUAGUCGGAAGCGGAUGCUUUGCCUUUAGCUUUUUCGAAACAUCUCCUCCUAUGUAUUACAUUACAUUAAUCUUACCAGGUGUCCAUAUUGCCAGAAGAUAGGAGCAUGGAUCAUCUGGUUCUCUUUUGUCGAACUGCAACAUGAAAAGAUGCAAUUAUCGGGAGGAUUAAUUUCAAUAUCAGCUUACAUGCUGCUUAUAUAUGAAUAUUAAACUGAUGUAGUAUCACUGACCCCUUCUAGGAGAGGAUGAGAAUCCGAAAGUUCAUAUCUGUGGAUGGAGAAACAGUUGAUAGUAAGUGCAAACAAAUUUAGAAGAACUGUAUGAAAUAAUAGGCUACCCUCCCAUAUUGGGCUAUCUAUCAGAAGUUAUUGCACAUCUUUACUUUAUUUUAUGAUGUAGAUAUCAGGAGCAUCCACUUACACUUGAUGUUCAGUUCUGAGCCGGCUUAUAUGCUUAAGUUUAGGCACGGGAAUCGAUGCAGCUUCUGGAGUUAAAGCGACCAAGGCUUUUGACAUUUCUACCUGUUGAAGCUCCAUAUUGUUUUCCAUAAAUUUCCUCACAUUUUGAGUGAACUCUGCCAUAUUCAAUGUAAUUGUAGGAAUUUCAUUAGGAUCUUCAAAGUAAGCAUCUUCAAUGUCAACUUCGGGAGCUUUUUGCUCUGGC
rnacentral:lncRNA from 1 species